CCUACGGGUGGCAGCAGUGAGGAAUAUUGGUCAAUGGACGCAAGUCUGAACCAGCCAUGUCGCGUGCAGGAUGACGGCCCUAUGAGUUGUAAACUGCUUUUGUAUGAGGGUAAACUCAUCCACGUGUAUGUUUCUGUAAGUACCGUAUGAAUAAGGAUCGGCUAACUCCGUGCCAGCAGCCGCGGUAAUACGGAGGAUCCAAGCGUUAUCCGGAUUUAUUGGGUUUAAAGGGUGCGUAGGUGGUCUGUUAAGUUAGUUGUGAAAGUUCGAGGCUCAACCUCAAAAUUGCCGUUGAUACUGGUAGGCUAGAGAGUAGUUGCGGUGGGCGGAAUGUGUGGUGUAGCGGUGAAAUGCUUAGAGAUCAUACAGAACACCGAUUGCGAAGGCAGCUUAC
rnacentral:rRNA from 1 species